rnacentral:misc_RNA from 1 species
UCCGGUUUGUCACCGGCGGUCUCCUUAGAGUUCCCACCAUUACGUGCUGGCAACUAAGGACAAGGGUUGCGCUCGUUGCGGGACUUAACCCAACACCUCACGGCACGAGCUGACGACAGCCAUGCAGCACCUGAACCGGCGGUCCCCGAAGGGAAAGUCCUAUUUCUAGGAUUGUCCACCGUUGUCCAGCCCAGGUAAGGUUCUUCGCGUUGCGUCGAAUUGAACCACAUGCUCCACCGCCUGUGCAGGCCCCCGUCAAUUUCUUUGAGUUUUAACCUUGCGGCCGUACUCCCCAGGCGGAUAACUUAAUGCGUUAGCUGCGCCACCCAAGCACCAAGUGCCCGGACAGCUAGUUAUCAUCGUUUACGGCGUGGACUAC